UAUUAUUAAUUAUUAAACAUUUAAGUUUUUAUAAAAAAUAAUCAAUGAGCUUGAAUAAGCAUAU
rnacentral:tRNA from 1 species